rnacentral:rRNA from 1 species
CGCGUAGGUGGACUUUUAAGUCAGAUGUGAAAUCUCGGGGCUCAACCUCGAAACUGCGUCUGAAACUGGGAGUCUAGAAUCUUGGAGGGGGAAGGGGAAUUUCGCAUGUAGGGGUAAAAUCCGUAGAUAUGCGAAGGAACACCAGAGGCGAAGGCGCCUUCCUGGACAAGUAUUGACACUGAGGUGCGAAAGCGUGGGGAUCAAACA